UACAGAGGUGGCAAGCGUUGUUCGGAAUUACUGGGCGUAAAGGGCUCGUAGGUGGCCAACUAAGUCAGACGUGAAAUCCCCAGGCUUAACCUGGGAACUGCGUCUGAUACUGGAUGGCUUGAAUUCGGGAGAGGGAUGCAGAAUUCCAGGUGUAGCGGUGAAAUGCGUAGAUAUCUGGAGGAAUACCGGUGGCGAAGGCGGCAUCCUGGACCGAGAUUGACACUGAUGAGCGAAAGCUAGGGGAGCAAACGGG
rnacentral:rRNA from 1 species